rnacentral:rRNA from 1 species
AGCAGUCGCCGCGGUAAUACAGAGGGUGCAAGCGUUAAUCGGAUUUACUGGGCGUAAAGGGCGCGUAGGUGGUUAUUUAAGUGAGAUGUGAAAGCCCCGGGCUUAACCUGGGAACUGCAUCUUAUACUGGGUAACUGGAGUGCAGUAGAGGGUAGUGGAAUUUCCGGUGUAGCGGUGAAAUGCGUAGAUAUCGGAAGGAACACCAGUGGCGAAGGCGGCUACCUGGACUGAGACUGACACUGAGGCGCGAGAGCGUGGGGAGCAAACAGGAUUAGAUACCCCGGUAGUCCCUGUCUCUUAUAC